rnacentral:rRNA from 1 species
AGUGAACGCUGGCGGUAGGCCUAACACAUGCAAGUCGAACGGCAGCACAGUAAGAGCUUGCUCUUACGGGUGGCGAGUGGCGGACGAGUGAGGAAUACAUCGGAAUCUACUUUUUCGUGGGGGAUAACGUAGGGAAACUUACGCUAAUACCGCAUACGACCUACGGGUGAAAGCAGGGGAUCUUCGGACCUUGCGCGAUUGAAUGAGCCGAUGUCGGAUUAGCUAGUUGGCGGGGUAAAGGCCCACCAAGGCGACGAUCCGUAGCUGGUCUGAGAGGAUGAUCAGCCACACGGGAACUGAGACACGGUCCAGGCUCCUAUGGGAGGCAGCAGUGGGGAAUAUUGGACAAUGGGCGCAAGCCUGAUCCAGCCAUACCGCGUGGGUGAAGAAGGCCUUCGGGUUGUAAAGCCCUUUUGUUGGGAAAGAAAAGCAGCAGGUUAAUACCACGCUGUUCUGACGGUACCCAAAGAAUAAGCACCGGCUAACUUCGUG